AAGUUUACAACUCCCAAACCCAAUGUGAACGUUACCAAACUGUUGCCUCGGCGGGAUCUCUGCCCCGGGUGCGUCGCAGCCCCGGACCAAGGCGCCCGCCGGAGGACCAACCAAAAACUCUUUUGUAUACCCCCUCGCGGGUUUUUUAUAUCUGAGCCAUCUCGGCGCCUCUCGUAGGCGUUUCGAAAAUGAAUCAAAACUUUCAACAACGGAUCUCUUGGUUCUGGCAUCGAUGAAGAACGCAGCGAAAUGCGAUAAGUAAUGUGAAUUGCAGAAUUCAGUGAAUCAUCGAAUCUUUGAACGCACAUUGCGCCCGCCAGUAUUCUGGCGGGCAUGCCUGUCCGAGCGUCAUUUCAACCCUCGAACCCCUCCGGGGGGUCGGCGUUGGGGAUCGGCCCUUUACGGGGCCGGCCCCGAAAUACAGUGGCGGUCUCGCCGCAGCCUCUCCUGCGCAGUAGUUUGCACACUCGCAUCGGGAGCGCGGCGCGUCCAUUGCCGUAAAACACCCAACUUUCUGAAAUGUUGACCUCGGAUCAGGUAGGAAUACCCGCUGAACUUAAGC
rnacentral:rRNA from 1 species